UAUAAAACAGUUUGUAAGCUUGGGCUUUCGGUAUAAGUUUCAGUUUUCACUGUAAUAGUGUAUUUAUCCAUCAAUGAUAUGUAUCACAUUUAUUAUUAAUCAUUGUUUUACUCACCACCGCUAGAUGGCCCUGUAAAAUUCUUGAAGCGGAUGACAGGAGCUAACGGGAAGUUAAAAUUUAUCUGUUUUUCUAGUGUUUUCGCAGCAAUUUCAAUAAUUUGAACUUUAAUUUUGUGUGAAAUAAUUGUUGAAACAAUAAUUUAAAAAUCAAUAUAUUACGCGGAUUGCAUGCACUAACUGGUUUGAUAAUAACGCCACAUCCGUGUGAGCCGUGAGCAGUUUAGUUGACAAAAAGUAUACGUGAGCAUGUAAUAAAUGAAAGUAGGCAACGAAAGAGCGUCUAUUUUAUUUGGUCAAACAUUAUCCCGAAGAAUACCUCAUUUAUUAAAAGAAAUGGCCAAAGUCAUUGAUUUUGGCGAACAUUUCUUGCAGUAAGUUAGAGAACAGAUUCUUUCAUAAGCCCAUCUAACAACCAAUUUAUAUUAUAUACAGUCUUCUCAUAAUAUGUGCCAGCUGUGAAAACCUGCUCUUUUGCCCUGGAGUUGCAAAUCUAUACCGAAUGUAAUUUGUUUAGAGCAACACAUAUCAACGAAACACUUUCCAUAGGUCGGACACCUUACUUGCCUGACAAUUGCCACUACCAAGAUGCGCGACCACUUUUUUGUAGACAAAUCGCCAUGAUAUUUUUUUCCUAAUUUUGUUUUCUAAAACACCUCUUUCAUUUUAUGUUUGAAAACCAAUAAACAUCUCAAACAUAUGGA
rnacentral:misc_RNA from 1 species